AGUCGAUUCUAUAGCGUGGCAUGUAUUUGGCUUCAUGUCGCGCAUGUUAAUUGACUCAAAUAACAAAAGCACUAGAGAUAAUAAUAUAAACAAUUAUAAAAAUGUUAUGCAGCAAUGAAUUCAUGAUAAAUGAAAAAAAUCCUCAAUAAAUCCGACUCAAAUGUGAGACUCGUGUAGACCCACAGACCUGCUUUUUAUUUACCUGCUGUCCAGAAGGCCAUUCUGCGCGCUGAGGCAUGGGAACUCUCCUUCAUCUUAGGGCCAGAGUGGCAACAUUAUGACUGCAGGCAGAUGGAGAAAGGAAAAUGCACAGGUGGCAGCAACCAGUUUCUUCAAAUGGAUGAGAAUGGAAUGCACAGCUGAAGGAAGUCAUUUGGAAUAUUGCUGAGAACCUUCUGAAUCAGUGCCUCCAAGUCCUCCACUGUGCUAGGCUUUGCCUAUACAUCUCCUCCCUCACGUAGCCCUACAGGAAAAAAUUACAUGGAGUGAGAUCUGGACUUCUUGGAGGCCAUUCAUGAGGUCCGUAUCGUCCCAGUCAACGUCCUGGUAAAAUGCUGGUCAAACCACCCACGCACAGUAAGAGCAAAAUUGGGUGGUGCACCA